rnacentral:lncRNA from 1 species
GACAAGUUCAGAGCAGAUUCAAGAUUUGAUUGAUCUUUGCUUCAGAACCCAUCCUGUGAGAUUUCACAGGGUAAAGGCAAGGUGUGGGACAGUGUAAAAGCUGAGGGGAAGAGGGAGAGUAACUGAGAACUGCCAGAGAGUCUUUUGUGCUGUGCUGCAACACAGGAAAAGGCUGGAAGACACAAACUCCUUCUGGCCUGCCACACUCAAUAGGAGGAAGCCAGGAAGCUGUGUCAACUUCAAGGAAGGUUUCCUGAUGUCUUUCACCUUUUAGAAGAGAAUCCUUGCCAUCCAGUUAGUGA